GAUGAAGAACGUAGCGAAACGCGAUAUGUAAUGUGAAUUGCAGAAUUCAGUGAAUCAUCGAAUCUUUGAACGCACAUGGCGCCUUCCAGUAUCCUGGGAGGCAUGCCUGUCCGAGCGUCAUUACAACCCUCAAGCUCAGCUUGGUAUUGGGCCCCGCCGACCCGGCGGGCCCUAAAGUCAGUGGCGGUGCCGUCCGGCUCCGAGCGUAGUAAUUCUUCUCGCUCUGGAGGUCCGGUCGUGUGCUCGCCAGCAACCCCCAAUUUUUUUCAGGUUGACCUCGGAUCAGGUAGGGAUACCCGCUGAACUUAAGCAUAUCAAUAAGCGGAGGA
rnacentral:misc_RNA from 1 species